ensembl:lncRNA
CGUCAGCCUGGACCUUAUUUUGAAACGAGUUAUUGUUGCUGGCUUAACCUAGUAUUAAGCAGCAUCGAUAUAACGUAUUUCAGACCUGAAAAAAGGGGUCAAUGCAAACUGCUCCAGGUCUUUUAUAGCUAUACUUUCACUAGUAUUACUAGACGAGUUGGUGUGAUUUUAGCGGUGGAUGUGUAAGACGCCUGUGUGAGCUGCAGGAUGCUGUACGCUGAGGGCUGUGACGGUCCACAGGACAAUCAUCACAGUCUGCAGUCCAAGCGAAUAUUCAUUGCAGCCUGAAUGCAGCAGAUUAUCUAAAGGUUUAGUUUUUCCGGUUGUGCACAAGAAGAUGAAAGCCAACUUGCUAAAGAAAAGAAAAUCAUCCAGAAAAAAGAAAACCAAAGAACUGCCAAAUUGUGAAAAAGAGCCAUUGCCAACAAAUGGUGAUGGCAUUAGUACUGACACGAAUGCAACCAAAACAUCUAAUGACACUCGGGACUGUGCUAUGGACACCUGUCCUGAGGUCACACAGAUCAAACCAGAAGAAGGAGAGCUGGAAGCUUUGGGAGUCCUGACGGUGUCCUCUGAACAACACCAACAACAGAAGCAGCAGAAAGUCAAUCUGCAGCCUCAUCCUCCUGCUUUCAGAGCAUUCGUUCCAAAGACAGAACCAGACUGUGUCCCUUUAAACCCACCUAGUUUUCAGGUCAAAACUGAGCCUGGCAUUUUUGAAGUGCUUCAGAGAGAGUCUACUCUGAUUGUGAAGGAGGAGAAUGACAGCUGGAAGGAAGUGAAGCUUGAGACGCUAGAUGAAAAUUCUGUGGGUGAUUCGGGACUGGAGAAAAACACAGCUUGUGCACAGGCAACCAAAGCAUCAUUGCAGUCUGUGCAAAUGCUCAAAGCCAAUAGAUGGAUCACUUGGUCAAAGGGCCCAAACAGGGUACGGACAGAAAUGACCAUUGGAGACAGGGUAACAUAGGUGUAGGUGGAGAUGAAGUGGAGUAAAGUGUGAAAAGGGAUCUGGAAGGAGACAAAGAUGUUCACACACAGUGGAACAGCUGCAGUGCCCGUCACAAAACGAGAAGUGAAUCAGAGAGAAUCACUGCAGA